rnacentral:rRNA from 1 species
UGGCGGCAGGCCUAACACAUGCAAGUCGAGCGAACCCUUCGGGGUUAGCGGCGGACGGGUUAGUAACGCGUGGGAAUAUACCCUUUGGUACGGAAUAGCCUCGGGAAACUGAGAGUAAUACCGUAUGUGCCCUUCGGGGGAAAGAUUUAUCGCCAAAGGAUUAGCCCGCGUUGGAUUAGGUAGUUGGUGGGGUAAUGGCCUACCAAGCCUACGAUCCAUAGCUGGUUUGAGAGGAUGAUCAGCAACACUGGGACUGAGACACGGCCCAGACUCCUACGGGAGGCAGCAGUGGGGAAUCUUAGACAAUGGGCGCAAGCCUGAUCUAGCCAUGCCGCGUGGACGAUGAAGGCCUUAGGGUUGUAAAGUCCUUUCAGAUGGGAAGAUAAUGACGGUACCAUCAGAAGAAGCCCCGGCUAACUCCGUG